rnacentral:rRNA from 1 species
ACCUGCGGAAGGAUCAUUGUCGUGACCCUGACCAAAACAGACCGUGAACGCGUCAUCCAUGGUGCCGGUUGACGGGGCUCGCACCCGUCUCUCGGUAGGGGCAGCCGACCUUCCUUCGGAGGGGGAGGGAGGGGGCCCCAAAAGAACCCACGGCACCGUAUGGUGUCAAGGAGGACCAAUAUUUGCCAAUUUGCUCGGGUCGAGACCGGCUAGCCGGAGGAACCCCUUGCAGCGAUGCUAAGUUAACCCACAUGACUCUCGGCAACGGAUAUCUUGGCUCUCGCAUCGAUGAAGAACGUAGCAAAAUGCGAUACCUGGUGUGAAUUGCAGAAUCCCGUGAACCAUCGAGUUUUUGAACGCAAGUUGCGCCCGAGGCCUCCUGACCGAGGGCACGUCUGCCUGGGCGUCACGCCAGUAUACAACUCCCCACCCAUCCCGGUGCGGACGUGGUGUCCGGCCCCUCGUGCCUCCGGGCGCGGUGGGCCAAAGUUGGGGCUGCCGGCCGUGCCGAUCACAGCACGAGGUGGAUGACGCAUGUUGUUCUCAGUGUGCUAAAAUCGGUACAGCUUCGUGUGACCCUCGGGACCCCCAUUUGACCGAAGGUGCAUGUUACUCGGACCACGACCCCAGGUCAGUCGGGACUACCCGCUGAAUUUAAGCAUAUCAAUAAGCGG